rnacentral:lncRNA from 1 species
CAGAGAGCAAGUGUCUGCGAGCGAGAGCAGUGGCAGCCCUCCCUGGGUCCCAGCCCCUGUGUUCUGGGUCCUUCAUUGCCUGUGUCCCCCACUCUGUCCCCAGGGCAGAGCCAGCCAGCCCCCCCUUCAUCCCCAGGGCCCAGUGGCUGUGGGCACCAUUACCAGCAUCGUUCUGGAAAGUCCAGGUGCUCAAAGCCCAGAGGACCUUCUAUUCAAAGAGAGCAGAUUUGAGGUUUGAGCAAACCCAGCUCACCAGCAAGUCAACGUAGCUUGGUCAAGCAGAGAUGAGCCAAAACUUUGGAAAGAAUCAUCUCAGAAAACCAAGUGCUGUAUCUCCUACCCAUUUAAAAAAUAUGUCUCCCAGUUUUUGUAAACACUCAUAACCAGGAAACAUUUGCUGUGCUUAUACAUGUUAAAAGCUUUUUACAAAUUCUGAGAAAACACUGGAUUUGGUCAGACUGUCUUUUCUUCGGUGAUGUUUGG